rnacentral:rRNA from 1 species
UACGUAGGUGGCAAGCGUUGUUCGGAAUUAUUGGGCGUAAAGGGCGCGUAGGCGGUUUGUUAAGUCAGCUGUGAAAGCCCGGGGCUCAACCCCGGAGGGUCAGCUGAUACUGGCAGACUAGAGUACAGAAGAGGUAACUGGAAUUCCCGGUGUAGCGGUGAAAUGCGUAGAUAUCGCUUGGAACGCCAAAGGUGAAAACAGGUUGCUGGGGUUGUGCCGACGCUGAGACACGAAAGCCAGGGGAGCAAACGGG